UACGAAGGGUGCGAGCGUUAUUCGGAAUCACUGGGCGUAAAGGGUGCGUAGACGGUAUGUUAAGUUUGUUGUUAAAGGCUCCGGCCUAACUGGAGUAUUGCGAUGAAAACUGGCAAACUAGAGGGUGAGAGAGAGAAGUGGAAUUCCCGGAGUAGCGGUAAAAUGCGUGGAUCUCGGGAGGAACACCGGUGGCGAAGGCGGGUCUCUGGGCCGAUACUGACGCUGAGGAGCGAAAGCGUGGGGAGCGAACAGG
rnacentral:rRNA from 1 species